rnacentral:lncRNA from 1 species
UAUAUUUCAUCACAGUGAGCAAACUGAGAUAAGACUUGUAAAUACGUUCAGAAAAUGACCCAAAUCCAUGCCUUUUUACACUGAACAUGGAAUUUCUACUAGAACAUGCUUCAUUUUGGAAUCUGUCACGCCUGGAUUCAUAGGGUUGCAAUCCUGACUUAUUUUCAUCAAACUAGGCAGUCAUCUUCUAGGACCAAAGAAAAAACUGUAGAAGCCUGGAUUUGGAACAAGUGACCAAGGAGGAAAUAGAAAACCAAGGCUCUGACACCUGAGUC